rnacentral:rRNA from 1 species
UACGUAGGUGGCGAGCGUUGUCCGGAAUUACUGGGUGUAAAGGGCGUGUAGGCGGGGAAGCAAGUCAGAUGUGAAAUCCCGGGGCUCAACUCCGGAGUUGCAUCUGAAACUGUUUUUCUUGAGUGCUGGAGAGGAAAGCGGAAUUCCUAGUGUAGCGGUGAAAUGCGUAGAUAUUAGGAGGAACACCAGUGGCGAAGGCGGCUUUCUGGACAGUAACUGACGCUGAGGCGCGAAAGCGUGGGGAGCGAACAGGAUUAGAUACCCUGGUAGU